rnacentral:rRNA from 1 species
GACGAACGCUGGCGGCGUGCUUAACACAUGCAAGUCGAACGGAAAGGCCCCUUUGGGGGUACUCGAGUGGCGAACGGGUGCGUAACACGUGAGUAACCUGCCCUUGACUUCUGGAUAACUUCAGGAAACUGGGGCUAAUACCGGAUAGGCAUCCUUGCUGCAUGGUGGGGGUUGGAAAGCUUCGGCGGUUUUGGAUGGACUCGCGGCUUAUCAGCUUGUUGGUGGGGUAGUGGCUUACCAAGGCUUUGACGGGUAGCCGGCCUGAGAGGGCGACCGGCCACAUUGGGACUGAGAGACGGCCCAGACUCCUACGGGAGGCAGCAGUGGGGAAUAUUGCACAAUGGGCGGAAGCCUGAUGCAGCAACGCCGCGUGCGGGAUGACGGCCUUCGGGUUGUAAACCGCUUUCAGCAGGGGAGAAGCUUGUGGUGACGGUACCUGCAGAAGAAGCACCGGCUAACUACGUG